UUCUGAUAAAGCCACACGGUCUUGGGUUAGGGCCGUACGGAAAGCCAUGGAACCACGAUGUAUGUGGGAAAGCCAGGUUGCCAGA
rnacentral:ncRNA from 1 species